rnacentral:rRNA from 1 species
CCGUUGCCGGCGACCGGCGCACGGGUGAGUAACACGUAUGCAACCUGCCCGUGGCAGGGGGAUAAGCGGGGAAACCCCGUCUAAUACCGCGUAACGCGGCCUAGGGACAUCCCAAGGCCGCCAAAGGGAGCAAUCCCGGCCACGGAUGGGCAUGCGGCGCAUUAGCUAGUCGGCGGGGUAACGGCCCACCGAGGCGACGAUGCGUAGGGGUUCUGAGAGGAAGGUCCCCCACACUGGUACUGAGACACGGACCAGACUCCUACGGAAGGCAGCAG